CCGGAGAUGGCGUAAGUGGCAGACGCAGCGGGCCCAGAACCCGUGGGCCAUCAGCAGUGGCCGUGGGAGUUCGACUCUCCCUCUCCGGACCA
rnacentral:tRNA from 1 species